rnacentral:rRNA from 1 species
UUGAACGCUGGCGGCAGGCCUAACACAUGCAAGUCGCACGGUAACAGGAAACAGCUUGCUGUUUCGCUGACGAGUGGCGGCCGGGUGAGUAAUGUCUGGGAAACUGCCUGAUGGAGGGGGAUAACUACUGGAAACGGUAGCUAAUACCGCAUAACGUCGCAAGACCAAAGAGGGGGACCUUCGGGCCUCUUGCCAUCGGAUGUGCCCAGAUGGGAUUAGCUAGUAGGUGGGGUAACGGCUCACCUAGGCGACGAUCCCUAGCUGGUCUGAGAGGAUGACCAGCCACACUGGAACUGAGACACGGUCCAGACUCCUACGGGAGGCAGCAGUGGGGAAUAUUGCACAAUGGGCGCAAGCCUGAUGCAGCCAUGCCGCGUGUAUGAAGAAGGCCUUCGGGUUGUAAAGUACUUUCAGCGGGGAGGAAGGGAGUAAAGUUAAUACCUUUACUCAUUGACGUUACCCGCAGAAGAAGCACCGGCUAACUCCGUG